UAGAGAAGUCAGUGAUGGUUUUACCCAGAAUGUCUGAACCUGUCUGAAGCAUCUCAGUGAUGCGGCCUCUGUGGUGCUGAGACUUCUCUGAUA
rnacentral:snoRNA from 15 species